rnacentral:rRNA from 2 species
GAUUGAUGGUGCUUGCACCUGAUUGAUUUUGGUCGCCAACGAGUGGCGGACGGGUGAGUAACACGUAGGUAACCUGCCCAGAAGCGGGGGACAACAUUUGGAAACAGAUGCUAAUACCGCAUAACAACGUUGUUCGCAUGAACAACGCUUAAAAGAUGGCUUCUCGCUAUCACUUCUGGAUGGACCUGCGGUGCAUUAGCUUGUUGGUGGGGUAACGGCCUACCAAGGCGAUGAUGCAUAGCCGAGUUGAGAGACUGAUCGGCCACAAUGGGACUGAGACACGGCCCAUACUCCUACGGGAGGCAGCAGUAGGGAAUCUUCCACAAUGGGCGCAAGCCUGAUGGAGCAACACCGCGUGAGUGAAGAAGGGUUUCGGCUCGUAAAGCUCUGUUGUUAAAGAAGAACACGUAUGAGAGUAACUGUUCAUACGUUGACGGUAUUUAACCAGAAAGUCACGGCUAACUACGUGCCAGCAGCCGCGGUAAUACGUAGGUGGCAAGCGUUAUCCGGA